UGCCACAUUCCUUUACAUCCCGCACAUGCCUCGACGUAAUGCGGUCAGUAGUGUCAUCCAUGCAUUGCAGAGCGCUCUAGAUACGACAGUAGAAAACUCUACAAUAUUUACAUGUGCGAGAACCGCCUUGUCGAAAUUGCAAACGGAGCAUAUACACGCCAUCAGCACAUCCAGCCGGAUGUAUCCAACAUUAAAAUCUAUCUCAGAUUUUCGUUGAUUUGCAAGGACACGAUGAGUGAUGCCAGGAAGCAUUGAUGCGAAUCCGCGGAAAAGCGGUGGUCUUCGCGCGGAGCAGCGCAGCACUCCGAACAUCAAGACACAAAAAAAACAUAAGAAAACGAAAACAAGCAAAAAAUUGUAUUCGACUUUAACGUGUGGCGACUUUAACGUUGAAGAGGAAGACACGUGGAAAGGCGUUUCUAAAAUUUUCCAACCAACGGAAGCACAAUAGGUACAAACGAAAUAAUAAUUUAUCGCACGAUAAAUGUCAAGAUGAGUCGGUCAUUUAUCAUAUUGCGCUCGUAUCUGUCGAAAAUCGUGUCGUUUAACAAAUAAAUAUACCUGGUCUAUGUGCAGAGCAGGUGGCAACGCAGUUGCGUCGUUGAUACACGCGGUCAAAAUUUAAGCGAGGGAUCGGACGCUUGCCAUCUGGGCCUUUGCCUACCGUGCAAGGUCCAUACGGUAUACUGACGGUAGUAUCAGUCUUGCAUGCCGCUGUUGCUCGUGAUUUCCAAAUAUAUAAAGCGAUAAGAAACGAAAUUCUAGAUCUUGCGUCGUAUUUAUAAUGUCAUAAUAUUUCCCAAUGCCAUGUCAAAUGAUUUAUCGAUAAUUCCUCAUGAUGUCUAUUAAAUAAUACGUCUAGUACUUAUACAAUAGUCACAAUUUAUGUCUGAAAGCAAUUUCUAUAUUAUACAAUGUUUCAAUUUAUAAUUUGAAACAUUUUUUAAAGCUUUUAAUUUUUGCUCGAGUUCUAAAUAAUUCUCAAAUUCUUCAUCUUUAUUCUAAGAUGAUACAUUCUAUGUUUAAGAAUUGAAUCAAUUAAAAAAUAUUUCACAGUAUUUCAUUUAUUUUGAUGAAGACUACAAACAUAUCACAGAAAGAGGCAAUAUUAGAAAGAUGUAGAGACAAACAACUCUCGAUCUUUCCUCAAUGUUUCUCCUACUUUCUUGAUAAUAUUUCGUUAUUGUUCUGCGUUGAUCGAAAACGACAUCGAUCAAACAUCGGCUUAUGAAGCGAAUACAUACAAUGCAAUUCUUUGCAAUUCUUUGCAAUUCUUUAACAAAUUUUGACCACAAUCGAAUGCAAUGUUAAUGUGAAAAUUUUCUACAUUAAAGACUAAAGGAAAAUGAUAGAUCACGAGCUAAUUAUAAAACGUAUUAAAGAAAUUUAUUUGUUAAAAAUGUUGAACUAUUUUUCUUCUUAAAUUUUCUAACGUCUUUCUGCCUUGAUCGUUACCUUCUGCUUUCCUAACUAAGAAGAAAAAGUCUUCUAAUUUUUCUAAAAAAGACU